rnacentral:rRNA from 1 species
ACCAGACUCCUACGGGAGGCAGCAGUGGGGGAUAUUGCACAAUGGGGGGAACCCUGAUGCAGCGACGCCGCGUGGGUGAAGAAGUAUUUCGGUAUGUAAAGCCCUAUCGGCAGGGAAGAAAUUGGACGGUACCUGACUAAGAAGCCCUGGCUAACUACGUGCCAGCAGCCGCGGUAAUACGUAGGGGGCAAGCGUUAUCCGGAUUCACUGGGUGUAAAGGGAGCGUAGACGGCCAUGCAAGCCUGGAGUGAAAGCCCGGGGCCCAACCCCGGGACUGCUCUGGGAACUGUGCGGCUGGAGUGCGGGAGGGGCAGGCGGAAUUCCUGGUGUAGCGGUGAAAUGCGUAGAUAUCAGGAGGAACACCGGCGGCGAAGGCGGCCUGCUGGACCGCGACUGACGUUGAGGCUCGAAAGCGUGGGGAGCAAACAGGAUUAGAUACCCCUGUA